UCCUGUUUGCUCGGUGACACAUGCAGUGGUCUCAGCGCAUCUUUCGAGGUGACCAUGCCUGCUCCAUGCACCAGGUGAUACUCCACUAGGAGCAGUGCUGAGCUGCUGAACCUCAUCAGCAUUUGGGGAGAGGAGCCUGUCCAGUCUCAGCUGUGCUCCAGCCAUAGGAAUUAUGAUACCUACAGACAGAUUUCACGAUGUCUGAGAGAAAGGGGCCGUGACCAGGACACACUGCAGUGUAGGGUCAAAGUGAAGGAGCUGCGGAACACCUACCACAAGGUGCGGGAGGCAAAACGCCACUCCAGUGCUGCACCCACAAGCUCCCAUUUCUACAAAGAGCUGGACGCAAUACUCCAUGGUGACCCCACCUCCACUGGUAAGGCCACUGUGAGUACUUCAGUGGCUCACAUGCCAGUCGAGAGUGGACCGAGCCAGGAGAAGUAAAUCUUGGAGGAUGAUGUGAAGGUGGAGGAGGACCCAGAGGCGGAGGACAACUCGGAGGUCAGAGAUGCAUGCAGCCCGGAGUUCUUAUCUACUCCGGAGGAGAUUAGCCAGUCACAGCUGUCGGAGCUUGGCGAAGCACAAACAGGAGAGGAGGCUCUUGAUAUGCCCUUGGGAACCCAGCCUCCCACUUUGUUAUUGGCAGCUGAACGGCUGUUCAGAAUUAGAAAGCGGCCAUGAAGAAUUAAAGAGAACUUUCUGCAUGAUGUCAUGAGGCACUCCAUGGCCGAAAGACAAGAACUGAAGGAGUGGCGGGACAGCGAGAAGUGGGACUGAAAGGAGAACGCGGUGCACCAGAACGAAGCCACGUAGCGGCUCUUAUACAUUAUGGACUGCCAA